rnacentral:rRNA from 1 species
UGAGUUGCGAACGGGUGAGUAACGCGUAGGUAACCUGCCUCAUAGCGGGGGAUAACUAUUGGAAACGAUAGCUAAUACCGCAUAACAGUAUUAACCGCAUGGUAGAUGCUUGAAAGGAGCAAUUGCUUCACUAUGAGAUGGACCUGCGUUGUAUUAGCUAGUUGGUGAGGUAACGGCUCACCAAGGCUUCGAUACAUAGCCGACCUGAGAGGGUGAUCGGCCACACUGGGACUGAGACACGGCCCANACUCCUACGGGAGGCAGCAGUAGGGAAUCUUCGGCAAUGGGGGCAACCCUGACCGANCAACGCCGCGUGAGUGAAGAAGGUUUUCGGAUCGUAAAGCUCUGUUGUAAGAGAAGAACUGUGAGAAGAGUGGAAAGUUUCUCAUUUGACGGUAUCUUACCAGAAAGGGACGGCUAACUACGUGCCAGCAGCCGCGGUAAUACGUAGGUCCCGAGCGUUGUCCGGAUUUAUUGGGCGUAAAGCGAGCGCAGGCGGUUUGAUAAGUCUGAAGUAAAAGGCUGUGGCUUAACCAUAGUACGCUUUGGAAACUGUCAAACUUGAGUGCAGAAGGGGAGAGUGGAAUUCCAUGUGUAGCGGUGAAAUGCGUAGAUAUAUGGAGGAACACCGGUGGCGAAAGCGGCUCUCUGGUCUGUUAACUGACGCUGAGGCUCGAAAGCGUGGGGAGCGAACAGGAUUAGAUACCCUGGUAGUCCACGCCGUAAAC